AGCUGAGGGCAAUCUGUCUGUAAUAUCUGUCACCCCACUGAUGGCCAGGGUUGAUUCAGCUGAUCUGGCCAGCUAGGUUGGUGUCCUCUUGCUCCCUCACCACUCCAUGUGCAUCCUUCCUGAAGCUGUGUGCUUGGUCAAAGAGGACAACCUUCCCCAGUUAAGAUGUACUGUUUAUCAGCCAAGAGUAUACACUAGCUAUGCUUCCUGGCUAAAACCUCCAAACAAGCUUUACAGAUCAUCAUUAGAAAAGAGUACAUAUCAUGACUUCAGUCAGCCAUGCUGUAGUUCCAAGCUGGAAAAUAUCCAC
rnacentral:snRNA from 1 species